GAUUCUGGCUCAGGAUGAACGCUGGCGGCGUGCCUAACACAUGCAAGUCGAACGAAGCACUUUCGAUCGGAGAUUCGUCAAAGAUUGGAUUUGACUUAGUGGCGGACGGGUGAGUAAUGUAUGAGCAACCUGCCUUUCAGAGGGGGACAACAGUUGGAAACGACUGCUAAUACCGCAUAAUGUAUUUUAAGGGCAUCCUUGGAAUACCAAAGGAGCAAUCCGCUGAAAGAUGGGCUCAUAUCUGAUUAGUUAGUUGGCAGGGUAACGGCCUACCAAGACUGCGAUCAGUAGCCGGACUGAGAGGUUGAACGGCCACAUUGGGACUGAGAUACGGCCCAGACUCCUACGGGAGGCAGCAGUGGGGAAUAUUGGGCAAUGGGCGAAAGCCUGAACCCCAGCAACGCCGCGUGAAGGAAGAAGGUCUUCGGAUUGUAAACUUCUUUUAUGAGGGACGAAGGACGUGACGGUACCUCAUGAAUAAGCCACGGCUAACUACGUGCCAGCAGCAGC
rnacentral:rRNA from 1 species